CCUAUGGGACGCAGCAGUAGGGAAUUUUCGUCAAUGGGCGCAAGCCUGAACGAGCAAUGCCGCGUGAACGAGGAAGGUCUUCGGAUCGUAAAGUUCUGUUGAAGGGGAAAAAGAGCGGAGAGAGGAAAUGAACUCCGAUCGAUAUUACCCUUCGAGGAAGUCACGGCUAACUACGUGCCAGCAGCCGCGGUAAUACGUAGGAUGCGAGCUUUAUCCGGAUUUAUUGGGUUUAAAGGGUGCGUAGGCGGAUUUUUAAGUCAGCGGUAAAAUGUCCGGGCUCAACCCGGGCCGGCCGUUGAAACUGG
rnacentral:rRNA from 1 species